rnacentral:rRNA from 1 species
CGGGCGAGGUUGCUUCGGUAACUGAGCUAGCGGCGGACGGGUGAGUAAUGCUUAGGAAUCUGCCUAUUAGUGGGGGACAACAUUCCGAAAGGAAUGCUAAUACCGCAUACGCCCUACGGGGGAAAGCAGGGGAUCUUCGGACCUUGCGCUAAUAGGUGAGCCUAAGUCAGAUUAGCUAGUUGGUGGGGUAAAGGCCUACCAAGGCGACGAUCUGUAGCGGGUCUGAGAGGAUGAUCCGCCACACUGGGACUGAGACACGGCCCAGACUCCUACGGGAGGCAGCAGUGGGGAAUAUUGGACAAUGGGCGCAAGCCUGAUCCAGCCAUGCCGCGUGUGUGAAGAAGGCCUUUUGGUUGUAAAGCACUUUAAGCGAGGAGGAGGCUACUUGGAUUAAUACUCUAGGAUAGUGGACGUUACUCGCAGAAUAAGCACCGGCUAACUCUGUGCCAGCAGCCGCGGUAAUACAGAGGGUGCGAGCGUUAAUCGGAUUUACUGGGCGUAAAGCGUGCGUAGGCGGCUUCUUAAGUCGGAUGUGAAAUCCCUGAGCUUAACUUAGGAAUUGCAUUCGAUACUGGGAAGCUAGAGUAUGGGAGAGGAUGGUAGAAUUCCAGGUGUAGCGGUGAAAUGCGUAGAGAUCUGGAGGAAUACCGAUGGCGAAGGCAGCCAUCUGGCCUAAUACUGACGCUGAGGUACGAAGCAUGGGGAGCAAACAGGAUUAGAUACCCUGGUAGUC